UACGUAGGGAGCGAGCGUUGUCCGGAUUUAUUGGGCGUAAAGGGCGCGUAGGCGGUCAGGUCAGUCCCGUGUGAAAUCCCUCGGCUCAACUGAGGAACUGCACGGGAAACUGCCUGGCUUGAGUUCGGGAGAGGGAAGUGGAAUUCCGGGUGUAGCGGUGAAAUGCGUAGAUAUCCGGAGGAACACCGGUGGCGAAGGCGGCUUCCUGGACCGACACUGACGCUGAGGCGCGAAAGCUAGGGGAGCAAACGGG
rnacentral:rRNA from 1 species